CAAUAAUGUUCUUCAGAUCAAAAAGCUCCAUGUGGUAGGCAGAAAUUUGCGCCCCCACCCGCCAAAACCCCUGCUGUCAAAGCUGUUCCAUCCUAAUGGUAAGAACCUGUGAAUAUGUUUCCUUACAUUGCAAACUGUGAUUAAGGUUAGGGACCUUGAAGUGAGAAGAGUAACCUGAAUUACCCAGGUGAGCCCAAUUUAAUCACAUUAAUUCUUAAAAGUGGAAAAGUUUUUCCAGCUGUGGUCAGAGAGACUCAAGAUGGCAGGCAGAGGAUUCCACUUUGACCACGCCCAGUGGUUGCUGGUUCUGAGAUGCAGGGGGCUGUGUGCAAGGAACUGAAUUCUGCCAACAACCUGAAUGAACGAGGCAUUGGAUCCUUGUCUAGAGCCUUCAGAAAGGGACACAGCAGUGCCAUCACCUUGAUGUUGGCUGGGAAGAAUCUCUAUCUUGCCCAUUUUACAAUCAGUGGGAAGAACAGGAGCUUUGGAGUCAGGCCGAGCCAUGCUGGGAGCACAGUAACGUUCCAGGCAGCGGAAAGUAAUUUGAACAGCUUGGAACAGAAGAUUUAUGGAGGACAUGAAUAUACGAAGAUACUGAAGAAGACUAAUGCACCACAUUUAUGUAGUCUGAAGUUUAUUGCUGCUCUCAUUAAACAGCUGGCCGGAACUAAGCUGAAAGAGUUUUUCUGACUGCUGUGAAAAUGUGUUUGACCCUUUAGGGUCAAUCUCAAAACUGGUUAGGAAGCAGCAUUCUAUGUCACUCUUUCUCAUAUUUAAUAAUGCACAGAACUCAUAUAAAAAUAAAUAGCUUCUGCAAUGUUGACUAUGUUUGUUUGUUCAGACCUCUAUAACAAAAUAUCACAAAUUAGGUAGCUUAUAAACAAAGGCGCCUUCUCUAUUUCUGAUUUCUUGGUCAGCAUAUCCAGAGGUGUAUUGAUUUUGUUGAUAUUCUCAAAUAAACAGCUUUAGGUUUUAUUGAUGUAGUUUAUUACUUAUCCCGUAUCUAUGUAAUCGAUUUCCACAAUUUAAUUUUUUUCCUCAUGCUUACUUUGGUCUUAACUUGCUCUUCUUUGUCUUAUAUCCUGAGAUAUAAGCAUAAAGUUUUAGUUUUAGACUCUUCUUUUCUAAUGAAAGCAUUUAAAACUGUAAAUUGCCCCCUAAGAAUUGUUUCAACUUUAUAUCACAAAUUUUGAUAUGUUCUAAGUUUUUUAAUCACUCAAUAUUAUCUAAUUUUCAUUGUCAUUUUUUAUUUGACUCAUGCAUAGGUUAAAAGUAUUUAGAGCUCCUUUCAAAUUGUUGUUAAUCCCCAAAUUAAUUCUCUUUUGCUCAGAGAACAUACUCCAUAUGAUUUCUAUCUUUUAAAUUUAUUGAAACUUAUUUAUGAACUAAAAUAUGUUCUAUAUUGGUUGAUAUCCCAUUUGCACUUAAAAAGAAUGUAUAUCAUGCAAUUUAUGUGGCAAUUAGGUGAAGGUGGUUUGUAUAUUCCUGCAGAUUGCUUUGGUCUAGUUUUUUUAUCAGUUACUUAACCUAGUCUCUUAAAAUUUCCAACUAUAAUUAUGUAUAUCUCCCUUUAGUUCUGUCACUUUUUAUUUCAUAUAUUUUAAAGCUCUAUAGGCAUAUCUAUAUUUAUUAUUAUUAUGUCUUUGGGAUAUACAGAAAUUUUAUCUUGAUUAAAUGCUCUGUAUCAUUGUUUCUAAUAUUAAGAGUAUUUAAGCUUUAUUUUUCUGAUAUUAAUUUAACUAAUCCAAAUUUUUUUAUGUUUUUUUGUUUGCUAGGAAUUUCCCCCUUUUAGCAUUCAAUUUACUUAAGUAUGUAUGGUUGAAAUGUAUAUCCUGUAGCAUAGUUUGUUCUUGCUUUUUUUUUAACCACAUUUCAGCCUUUUGAUUAGAAUGUCUAGCCCAUUUAUAUUUAAUGUAAUCAAUGAUACAUUCGUAUUUAUUUGUCUGACAUUUUAAUAUUUGUUUUCCCUUUUGCUUUCAGUAUUGUUUUGUUUCUGCUCCUCUGUUUCUUCUUUCUUAGCUUAUUUUGUGUUAAUCAAAAAAUUUAAUAUUCCUUUUUAAUUCCUUAUUGACAUUCUAGCUAUAUUCAUUUACAUCAAUAUUUUUAUGGUUAUUUUGGGGAUUGAAAUAUGCCUUUUUAACUUGUUGCAAUCUCGUUACAAUUAAUAUUGAAUUACAUCUGGUAAAAUAUUGGAAAU
rnacentral:lncRNA from 1 species